CUGGCAGCCCUGAGAAGAGCUGGUGUACACUGAGACCCCCCCUCCACACAAUCCCACCCAGUGGUUGGGUCUGGGCAGGCACCCUGACACACACUGCCCCCCCCCCCCCGCCCCACCUAGGUAGAUGAAUGGGAUGAUGCAGUGGUUGUCAUGACGAUGAGUGCUAGAGAAGUCAGGAAGAGGGUCCCUGUGGCCACAGGGAAUAGUCUGCCUUGGCCUUUGAGGGUGGUGCUAGGGGAACUAUGCCACUCUAUGGGCGUGCUCGAGGCCAUGUCACCCAUCCUUCAAUUCUGGGCACACGUCCUGGCCGACCCAUGGCUGGGCCCAUCACUGCAGCUGUACCUGAGAAGAUCUGCUAUGGAACCUUCUGCUCCUGCAGUGGGGCUUUUCCCCUAGAUCCCAACAAUCCAUCGUUUGGGCCCUUGCCCUCAAUCAGCCACCUAAAUCUGAGAACUCAGGUGGGCUACGCAGAGCAGGGUCCCAGUGGGGCUGGCUGUGUGGGUGGGCAGGUACUGACAAAGAUCCCCAUCCAUGCUGGGUUUCCAGAACUCCUGAGUGGCUCUGGGGUCCAUAGUGGUUGAGUGAACACUGACAAGUUCACGUCAGUGCCCCCUGCUAGGCUGUGGGCUUUAGGGAACCCAUGGUGAUCAAGCAAAUGCUAAUAAGAGACCCAUUUCCAUCCUUGUCCCUUGCUCAGAUCGCCAUGGAUCGGAUGAAGAAGAUCAAACGGCAGCUGUCAAUGACACUCCGAGGUGGCCGAGGCAUAGACAAGACCAAUGGUGCCCCUGAGCAGAUAGGCCUGGAUGAGAGUGGUGGUGGUGGCGGCAGUGACCCUGGAGAGGCCCCCACACGUGCUGCUCCUGGGGAACUUCGUUCUGCACGGGGCCCACUCAGCUCUGCACCAGAGAUUGUGCACGAGGACUUGAAGAUGGGGUCUGAUGGGGAGAGUGACCAGGCUUCAGCCACGUCCUCAGAUGAGGUGCAGUCUCCAGUGAGAGUGCGUAUGCGCAACCAUCCCCCACGCAAGAUCUCCACUGAGGACAUCAACAAGCGCCUAUCGCUACCAGCUGACAUCCGGCUGCCUGAGGGCUACCUGGAGAAGCUGACCCUCAAUAGCCCCAUCUUUGACAAACCCCUCAGCCGCCGCCUGCGUCGUGUCAGCCUAUCCGAGAUUGGCUUUGGGAAACUGGAGACCUACAUUAAGCUGGACAAGCUGGGCGAGGGUACCUAUGCCACCGUCUACAAAGGCAAAAGCAAGCUCACAGACAACCUUGUGGCACUGAAGGAGAUCAGACUGGAACAUGAAGAGGGGGCACCCUGCACCGCCAUCCGGGAAGUGUCCCUGCUCAAGGACCUCAAACACGCCAACAUCGUUACGCUACAUGACAUUAUCCACACGGAGAAGUCCCUCACCCUUGUUUUUGAGUACCUGGACAAGGACCUGAAGCAGUACCUGGAUGACUGUGGGAACAUCAUCAACAUGCACAACGUGAAAGUGGGUGUGGGGCAGGAAGCAGGGGCACAAGGGGGCCCCCACUCACCCACUCCAACCCACAAAUCUCCCAGAAACGGACUUUUCCCUUUGGCUUUUUUUGCUAGGAGCCCUUGGAGGGCACUGGGACCCUGUCCUCUUUUGUGUGACAAGGCUCUGGGCCUGGUGUCUGUGUUUGGGAGGGGAGCAGUGCCUGCUGGGGGUCGGGCUAGUGGAUAGUCUUUGACCUCUGCCUGCCAUUCCUGGGUCCCCAGCUGUUCCUGUUCCAGCUGCUCCGUGGCCUGGCCUACUGCCACCGGCAGAAGGUGCUACACCGAGACCUCAAGCCCCAGAACCUGCUCAUCAACGAGAGGGGAGAGCUCAAGCUGGCUGACUUUGGUACCACUGGCCUCCCCUUUCUUAUUGGCUCCCCAGCCUCCUACUUUCCCAUGACCACUUAGUCUCACUUCCCUUCAGCCUUGCCAGAUUUUGCCUAGGACACCCUCAGUCUCAACUGCACUCUCCCCUAGACUUUGCCCAUGACUCCUUCAUUCUAGCUGUCCUUUCUCUGAUUUCCAGGCCUGGCCCGAGCCAAGUCAAUCCCAACAAAGACAUACUCCAAUGAGGUGGUGACACUGUGGUACCGGCCCCCUGACAUCCUGCUCGGGUCCACGGACUACUCCACUCAGAUUGACAUGUGGGGUGUGGGCUGCAUCUUCUAUGAGAUGGCCACAGGCCGUCCCCUCUUUCCGGGCUCCACGGUGGAGGAACAGCUACACUUCAUCUUCCGCAUCUUAGGAACCCCAACUGAGGAGACGUGGCCAGGCAUCCUGUCCAACGAGGAGUUCAAGACAUACAACUACCCCAAGUACCGAGCCGAGGCCCUUUUGAGCCACGCACCCCGGUGAGGCUGGUGGGUGGGUGGGCAUUAGGGGCCAGAGUGUCCAAACUCAUUUUAAAUCAGGUCUUUUUGUCCUUGUGGCAGACUUGACAGCGACGGGGCUGACCUCCUCACCAAGCUGUUGCAGUUUGAGGGUCGAAAUCGGAUCUCCGCAGAGGAUGCCAUGAAACAUCCAUUCUUCCUCAGUCUGGGGGAGCGGAUCCACAAACUUCCUGACACUACUUCCAUAUUUGCACUAAAGGAGAUUCAGCUACAAAAGGAGGCCAGCCUUCGGUCUUCAUCGAUGCCUGACUCAGGUAGGUAUAGCCCCUUGUCUUCCUCCCUGCCCCACCCACCUACCUGCUUACCCACCAACAGCCAUCUGCUCUGCUUUCCCCCACAGGCAGGCCAGCUUUCCGCGUGGUGGACACCGAGUUCUAAGCCACAGACCGAGGCCCCAGCAGGCAGCGGCUGGAGGGAUGCCACACCCCUCACAGGGCAGCCCCCAACUACAUCUUCCCUGCUUACUCUCUGCCUACCUGCCUGAGCCAUGUUCACCUGCCCACUUGUCCCCUGCUGCCUGCCCAAACACCCCACCAUUGGCCUGUCAACCCACCCAUUGGCCUGUCUGCUGGGUGCUAACAAAGCUCUCAUCACUCCUUC
rnacentral:sRNA from 1 species